rnacentral:ncRNA from 2 species
UGUCCUCUUCGCCCGAAAGGCGUCCGGCCAGAUGCCGGACAGGAAGCCGGUGAGAAUCCGGCACGGGACCGCCGCUGUAUGCGAGGAGGUCCCCGGACAAGACGCCACUGCGAGCUUGAACUCGUGGGAAGGCGUCCGGGGACCGAUCGACUCGCGAGUCAGAAUACGGCCUCUCGGGUUUACCCAGU